GAGUUUGAUUCUGGCUCAGGAUGAACGCACAAGACGUGCCUAACACAUGCAAAUCGAAUGAAAACAAUUUAAUUAAAUUGUUUUCAUGGUGAACGGGUGAGUAACACAUAAGAAUCAGCUUUUAGAUAAGGCAUAAAAGAGUAAUAUCUUGGUAAUUCCUUAUAUGCGCAGCAGUGCUUAAAAAGGGGACUCCCGUCUAAAAACGAGCUUAUGCCUGAUUAGCUAGUUGGCGAGUUAAAAGCUCACCAAGGCGAAGAUCAGUAGCUGGCCUGAGAGGGCGGCCAGCCACAUUGGGACUGAGACACGGCCCAAACUCCUACGGGAGGCAGCAGUGGGGAAUCUUCUGCAAUGGGCGCAAGCCUGACAGAGCGGCGUCAUGUGAAGGAAGAAGGCCUGAAAUAGGUUGUAAACUUCUUUUACUGAGUAAUGAAUACUGACAACGCAGUAAAAAAGUAUCGGCUAACUCCGUGCCAGCAGCCGCGGUAAUACGGGGGAUGCAAGCGUUAUCCGGAAUCACUGGGCGUAAAGCGUCUGUAGGUGGUUUAGUGUGUUCUUAGUUAAAUUAUGAAGCCUAACUUCAUGAAAAGUAAGAAAACUAUUAGACUUGAGUACGAUAGGGGUAAGAGGAAUUCUUCGAGAAGUAGUGAAAUGCGAAGAUACGAAGGAGAAGAUCAUAAGCGAAGGCUUCUUACUGGGUCGUAACUGACACUGAGAGACGAAAGCUAGGGGAGCGAAUGGGAUUAGAUACCCCAGUAGUCCUAGCUGUAAACGAUGGAUAUUCGGUGCCGGAUUUUAUUAGAACAUUUCGGUACCCUAGCUAACGCGUUAAAUAUCCCGCCUGAGGAGUACGCUCGCAAGGGUGAAACUCAAAGGAAUUGACGGGGGCUCGCACAAGCGGUGGAGCAUGUGGUUUAAUUCGAUGCAAAGCGAAGAACCUUACCAGGGCUU
rnacentral:rRNA from 1 species